CCUCACCUGGAUGAGUAGUGCAGUGCUGAAGAUACUUUUGAUGAGAAACCAAAGCAUUUGUGUGUCCAAAAUCAAAAGCAAAACAAAAAAAAAAACACUUGGAACUGCUUCUUUGUUUCGACUUGCCAGUUGCCACCGCAAUCUGCUUCAUUUGUACUACCGUUCCGACAAGAGGACUCAUCGCCAACGAAGCUUCCAUGGUGGACCCCAUGCAAGUUCAACACCAUUCCAAUGGUUUUCUAUUUUUCCGUUGCCAGGUAAAUCAAAAUGUGCAAUCCCUCCUCUAAAUAUUUAGCCCCAAGGAUAAUAUCUUUUUAGCCCCUUUUCUUUCUCUAAAAUAAACGUCUAUUUGUUUUUUUUUCUUUUUCAAAAUUAUAAAAAAAAAAUUCUCGAGUGAAGAAAUCAUUUUGCAAAUUUGUUGUAAUGAGAAAAAAUGUUUUGUGUGGUCUGUCAGACAACCGUGUGACCACCCCACCGCAGUUGGUGCGGUGAGAACGAUCCUCCACUGCCACAGAUUGGAACCUCCAAGGAGGACUCGAUCUGGACCAUUAAUCACGCUCUGAUCACACGGUCAUGAUUCAUCAACCAGACUUCGGUUCCUGUCUCCUUAGAGCUCAAGGAUACAGUUGUACGAGCCUAUAGAACAGAUCCUGUUCAAGUAAGGUCGUGCCCUUUGCCUUCACUCUUUGAUUAUAUGAACGCUCGUGUCUUGCUAAGAACAAGCGAUGAUUAUGAUCAUUAUGCUUUUUCAUGUGGGCAGCCAUGAUGAAUUAAGAAGUGAACCCCAUACACUCAACUUGCACAAGUGGAAGAAGAUCAUAACUGAAUCCCUGAGAUACCAGUGAAUUUAUUAAUGAAUGUAUAUAGUUAUACAAGAUAGGUCUUCACAUUUUCUUUAUAGUUUUUUUCAUAUGAAAUAAACCAAUGAUUCUCAUGUCGUGUAUACUUUUGUGCUUCUGAAGCCUUAUAUAUAUAUAUAUAUAUUCUUGUUUCCAAA